UACGUAGGGUGCAAGCGUUGUCCGGAAUUAUUGGGCGUAAAGAGCUCGUAGGCGGUUUGUCGCGUCUGCUGUGAAAACUCGGGGCUUAACCCCGGGCCUGCAGUGGGUACGGGCAGACUUGAGUUCGGUAGGGGAGACUGGAAUUCCUGGUGUAGCGGUGAAAUGCGCAGAUAUCAGGAGGAACACCGGUGGCGAAGGCGGGUCUCUGGGCCGAUACUGACGCUGAGGAGCGAAAGCGUGGGGAGCAAACAGG
rnacentral:rRNA from 1 species